GGGAUAGUGAUCUAGCCUGGUCUAUGAUGCCGCUCUCACACAGCGGAUGUCGCAGGUUCAAAUCCUGCCUGUCCCA
rnacentral:tRNA from 1 species